rnacentral:rRNA from 1 species
UACGUAGGGUGCAAGCGUUGUCCGGAAUUACUGGGCGUAAAGAGUUCGUAGGCGGUUUGUCGCGUCGUUUGUGAAAACUCACAGCUCAACUGUGAGCCUGCAGGCGAUACGGGCAGACUUGAGUACUGCAGGGGAGACUGGAAUUCCUGGUGUAGCGGUGAAAUGCGCAGAUAUCAGGAGGAACACCGGUGGCGAAGGCGGGUCUCUGGGCCGAAACUGACGCUGAGGAGCGAAAGCGUGGGGAGCAAACAGG